AUUACCGCGGCUGCUGGCACGAAGUUAGCCGGGGCUUAUUCUUGCGGUACCGUCAUUAUCUUCCCGCACAAAAGAGCUUUACAACCCUAGGGCCUUCAUCACUCACGCGGCAUGGCUGGAUCAGGCUUUCGCCCAUUGUCCAAUAUUCCCCACUGCUGCCUCCCGUAGG
rnacentral:rRNA from 1 species